AUUGAACGCUGGCGGCAGGCAUAACACAUGCAAGUCGAACGAUUGGCGGACGGGUGAGUGGUGUCUGGGAAACUGCCCGAUGGAGGGGGAUAACUACUGGAAACGGUAUCUAAUACCGCAUACCAUCGGAUGUGCCCAGAUGAGAUUGGCUAGUAGGUGGGGUAACGGCUCACGUGGGCGACGAUCGCUAGCUGGGCUGAGAGAAUGACCAGCCAAACUGGAACGGAGGCACGGUCCAGCAUCCUACGGGUGGGAGCCGUGGGGAACAUUGCACAAUGGGCGCAAGCCGGAUGUAGGCAUGCCGCGGGAAUGAAGAAGGCCGUCGGGUUGUAAAGUUCUUUAAGCGUGGAGGCGUUACCCGAAGAAGAAGCACCGGCUAACUCCGUGCCAGCAGCCGCGGUAAUUC
rnacentral:rRNA from 1 species